CAAGAGCGUAUAUUAAAGUUGUUGCAGUUAAAAAGCUCGUAGUUGGAUUUCUGGUACAACGCGCCUGGCCCGCUUUUGUGAGUGCCGGUGCGCGUUUGCCAUCCUUCUAGAAAACGUUUCUACCCGGGCAACUGGGCCGGAUUCGCGAUCUAGAUCUUUUACUUUGAAAAAAUUAGAGUGUUUAAAGCAGGCUUUUGCUGUGAAUACAUUAGCAUGGAAUAAUGAUCUAGGACUUCGGUUCUAUUUUGUUGGUUUCUAGUACUGAAGUAAUGAUUAAGAGGGACAGUUGGGGGUAUUCGUAUUUAGAUGUCAGAGGUGAAAUUCUUGGAUUUUCGAAAGACGAACUACUGCGAAAGCAUUUACCAAGGAUGUUUUCAUUAAUCAAGAACGACAGUUAGGGGAUCGAAGAUGAUUAGAU
rnacentral:rRNA from 1 species